rnacentral:rRNA from 1 species
GGUUAAGCGACUAAGCGUACACGGUGGAUGCCCUGGCAGUCAGAGGCGAUGAAGGACGUGCUAAUCUGCGAUAAGCGUCGGUAAGGUGAUAUGAACCGUUAUAACCGGCGAUUUCCGAAUGGGGAAACCCAGUGUGAUUCGUCACACUAUCAUUAACUGAAUCCAUAGGUUAAUGAGGCGAACCGGGGGAACUGAAACAUCUAAGUACCCCGAGGAAAAGAAAUCAACCGAGAUUCCCCCAGUAGCGGCGAGCGAACGGGGAGCAGCCCAGAGCCUGAAUCAGUGUGUGUGUUAGUGGAAGCGUCUGGAAAGGCGUGCGAUACAGGGUGACAGCCCCGUACACAAAAAUGCACAUGCUGUGAGCUCGAUGAGUAGGGCGGGACACGUGGUAUCCUGUCUGAAUAUGGGGGGACCAUCCUCCAAGGCUAAAUACUCCUGACUGACCGAUAGUGAACCAGUACCGUGAGGGAAAGGCGAAAAGAACCCCGGCGAGGGGAGUGAAAAAGAACCUGAAACCGUGUACGUACAAGCAGUGGGAGCACGCUUAGGCGUGUGACUGCGUACCUUUUGUAUAAUGGGUCAGCGACUUAUAUUCUGUAGCAAGGUUAACCGAAUAGGGGAGCCGAAGGGAAACCGAGUCUUAACUGGGCGUUAAGUUGCAGGGUAUAGACCCGAAACCCGGUGAUCUAGCCAUGGGCAGGUUGAAGGUUGGGUAACACUAACUGGAGGACCGAACCGACUAAUGUUGAAAAAUUAGCGGAUGACUUGUGGCUGGGGGUGAAAGGCCAAUCAAACCGGGAGAUAGCUGGUUCUCCCCGAAAGCUAUUUAGGUAGCGCCUCGUGAAUUCAUCUCCGGGGGUAGAGCACUGUUUCGGCAAGGGGGUCAUCCCGACUUACCAACCCGAUGCAAACUGCGAAUACCGGAGAAUGUUAUCACGGGAGACACACGGCGGGUGCUAACGUCCGUCGUGAAGAGGGAAACAACCCAGACCGCCAGCUAAGGUCCCAAAGUCAUGGUUAAGUGGGAAACGAUGUGGGAAGGCCCAGACAGCCAGGAUGUUGGCUUAGAAGCAGCCAUCAUUUAAAGAAAGCGUAAUAGCUCACUGGUCGAGUCGGCCUGCGCGGAAGAUGUAACGGGGCUAAACCAUGCACCGAAGCUGCGGCAGCGACGCUGAUGCGUUGUUGGGUAGGGGAGCGUUCUGUAAGCCUGUGAAGGUGUACUGUGAGGUAUGCUGGAGGUAUCAGAAGUGCGAAUGCUGACAUAAGUAACGAUAAAGCGGGUGAAAAGCCCGCUCGCCGGAAGACCAAGGGUUCCUGUCCAACGUUAAUCGGGGCAGGGUGAGUCGACCCCUAAGGCGAGGCCGAAAGGCGUAGUCGAUGGGAAACAGGUUAAUAUUCCUGUACUUGGUGUUACUGCGAAGGGGGGACGGAGAAGGCUAUGUUGGCCGGGCGACGGUUGUCCCGGUUUAAGCGUGUAGGCUGGUUUUCCAGGCAAAUCCGGAAAAUCAAGGCUGAGGCGUGAUGACGAGGCACUACGGUGCUGAAGCAACAAAUGCCCUGCUUCCAGGAAAAGCCUCUAAGCAUCAGGUAACAUCAAAUCGUACCCCAAACCGACACAGGUGGUCAGGUAGAGAAUACCAAGGCGCUUGAGAGAACUCGGGUGAAGGAACUAGGCAAAAUGGUGCCGUAACUUCGGGAGAAGGCACGCUGAUAUGUAGGUGAAGUCCCUCGCGGAUGGAGCUGAAAUCAGUCGAAGAUACCAGCUGGCUGCAACUGUUUAUUAAAAACACAGCACUGUGCAAACACGAAAGUGGACGUAUACGGUGUGACGCCUGCCCGGUGCCGGAAGGUUAAUUGAUGGGGUCAGCGCAAGCGAAGCUCUUGAUCGAAGCCCCGGUAAACGGCGGCCGUAACUAUAACGGUCCUAAGGUAGCGAAAUUCCUUGUCGGGUAAGUUCCGACCUGCACGAAUGGCGUAAUGAUGGCCAGGCUGUCUCCACCCGAGACUCAGUGAAAUUGAACUCGCUGUGAAGAUGCAGUGUACCCGCGGCAAGACGGAAAGACCCCGUGAACCUUUACUAUAGCUUGACACUGAACAUUGAGCCUUGAUGUGUAGGAUAGGUGGGAGGCUU